ensembl:lncRNA
GGAGAGGAAGUCGGUGCGGGCCAAUGACAAAGGUCAAUACUGAAUUGUGUUUCAACGAUUGAUCUUGGGUGCCGUGCCACAAGAACACACGUGUUAUUUAUUUCAAUAUACUUAAAAUAGGAAGAACGUGGAAAAAGCAUAUGAUGGCAUCUUCAUACAAUUUCAUCCCAUCUCAGAUAUCUCAGACAAGGAGACACUCAAGUUCAUGAACUACACAAACAAAAGUGUGGAUCUGGUGGACAACAAAGAGAUCGUCAUCUCUUGCAACGGCCCGUACAUCCUACACAUGUACGUGUGCCCCAGGGGUUUUAACAACGAACCCGGACAGGGCCACCUGGAGCUACGCCUGGCCCCGGAGCAGCAAGCGAUCACUAACUUCACCCUUGAGAGCAGAGGGGGCAUCGACUGCAAGGGCCUACAAACCACUGUCUACCUGCGGAGGGAGCAGAGACUGAACCUCUACUUCUCCUCCAAGAACCGAACCCUCAAGAUUAAGAAUGUCAUCCUCGGCCUCCGCUACCUGUUGGGGCAGUGCCAGUACUGAAAGAGAGAGGCUGGGUAGAAGUACAUUACAAAGACCGGUUCAGUCUUCUGAUCCAACCUGAACAACAGGGCUCGAACUCAAGGAAUAUACCUUGUUGUUGGUUCUGAAGACUAGGCCUACUGUUCAGAACAGGAUUGACAGCGCUAUUGCCUGAAUGUAUUUUCUCGCGGUUGAAUGUGUAUGCAUUUCGCUCUAAGCUAUUUUAGUAUUUUUACUUUUACUGGUAUUCUUUUUAAUGUUGGUAUUAUUAUUACUAAUUUGUAAUUGUUCUGACUCAGGGCUGCUGAAGUCACAUAAGUAUGUCCAACCUAAGAUCAAGUGACAGUGGCUACUGUGUAUAUAUUGGAAAAGUAAACAAAGUUCGAACUAGAGUAGAACUAAGUAGAGAGUAGUAGACUUUACUUCUAUAUAUAUAUAUUCUCCCUUAUAAUUCUGUUAUUUUCACAUAAUUUCAGAGAACUGAAUUGUUUUAAUUUAAUCUAUUAAUAAAAUUUGUUAUUAUCUCAUAUUGUAUAAUGCAAUUGCACUUUUAUUGUGUAUCCUAAUAAAAGGGUAAAAUAUU